rnacentral:tRNA from 1 species
AUACAAUUAGUAUAAAAAAUAUAUCAUCUUUCCAAGUUGGAGAUUUAAUAAACAUUAAAUUGUAUA